GACGAACGCUGGCGGCGUGCUUAACACAUGCAAGUCGAACGAUGACGCCCGAGCUGCCUGGGUCUGCUUAGUGGCGAACGGGUGAGUAACACGUGUGCAACCUGCUCUACUCUCUGGUAUAACCUCGCGAAAUGGGGCCUAAUCCCAUACCUCAUCUCACCUCCCGGGGAGGGCGUGGGAACUUUUUUCGUUGAGGGAUGGAUUGGCGGGCUGUCAGUUUGUUUGUUUGGUAGGUGCUGACCAAGCCAAGGACGGGUAGGCGGCCUGAGAGGGGGACCGGCCACACUGGGACUGAGACACGGCCCAGACUCCUACGGGAGGCAGCAGUGGGGAAUAUUGCACAAUGGGCGCAAGCCUGAUGCAGCGACGCCGCGUGAGGGAUGACGGCCUUCGGGUUGUAAACCUCUGUCAGCAGGGAAGAAGCGAAAGUGACGGUACCUGCAGAAGAAGCGCCGGCUAACUACGUG
rnacentral:rRNA from 1 species